rnacentral:lncRNA from 1 species
AAGAAAAAUGGAACACAGCAGUUUCAUGACUCACAACAACUCUUCCAUAAUAACCAAUGUGAUAAAAACAUUUUUUCAGGGAAACAAAUUUCAGUUUUAGCCUUCCAAAUGACUAUUACGAAAAUUAACAACUAAUAAAAAAUUGAAAUACUAAAAGACAUCAUGUAUCCUCUCAAACUAUUUAUUUAUUGUACUCAUACAUAUUCUUAAGUGCAAUAAAAUCUGCCUAGAAAUCAUUAAUCCACUAGUAUAUAGUCCUUACUUGGUGCUGGCAACUGAAAAUUUGGUCUUUUUAUAUACAAAUUGUUACACGCAUGAAAAGUAGUCCAAUAAUGGCACUUUUUAUAGGUUAUUUCAUAAGUACUCUUGGUUGGACAUAUGCUAAAGUAUUGUUACAGGUUGCUGAGGCAACCCGCCUGCUACAGUUGUGGUUAACUCUAAAAUUUACUGAUAAUGCUGACCUGAGACUUGAGUCUUAUCUUCACUGAAUGCAGUACAGGUGUAUUGUAGGUAGGCUGUAGGAGGACCAUAGCUACCUCUAAAUCUUUACAGAAGAUUUUGAAUGUGGCUUUUGUUGCAUAGAAAAUAAAUAAAAUAAAAUAAAUCUCUACAGAAGACUGGCAAGAGAUUGGUGCAUAUUUAAUAGCAAACAGUGGGAUGCUUUGAAAGGGAUGGAUAACAUAGAACAUUGAACAGCAAGAGCUUUAGUGGGGUUUAGGUUUUAGUAGUUGUCCAGCCAAGACUCUGCCUGUUACUGAAGCUAGGGAUAUGUGGAGUGACCAAUUUACAUCAGUCAUAGUAGAGAAGUAAUUGCUUUUAUCUGACAAAAGCAGUCUGGACCCAGUCAACAACAUGCUGAUGCUACAGUCCCUAUUCUUGAUGUUUUAUUGGAAAGUGGUAAGACUUCUUUUUCUCUCUGAGCUGGUACCACCAAUUUGCAGUGGUAUGUUCUAGAAGCAAAUCAUAUUUCAGAGCUCUUUGGUUGUGUAAUUUUUUUCAAUAGGCAUGAUGAGUAUUCUGGAAGCUGUAUCAUGGUGCCUUUUGCUUGGCUGUGUGUCAUUACUAUAAUGCAUAGGUUUUUUACUUGUUUGUGUGAUUGUUUUUAUUCCAAAGACUGCCAUCCAGGGCCAUGCAGCAAACAAGCAACAGGGAAAUAUCCCACUAUGCAAUCCUAUUUUGAGAUGAUAUUUAGGAUGAGAGAACAUGCAUUAGUUACCUACCAGCUUGACAGGAAUGGAUUUCCAAAUCUGACACACCAUAGCCUGAAUUCUCACCAGUUUGCUCCUGGAAAGGCCCGCUCAUGGUAAGCUCCUUAGAGUUUGUUAGUAGUGGGGAAGCCUUGAGUUUCAGGAGAACGUGUUUGGAUGGCAUUUUAAGAAGCCAUUCCAUUUUUGGUAGAGUAGAAAAAGUCUGCAUCUGAGUCUGUAGUACAGUCUGUUCUCUGGAUGAACACAAUGUCUCUCUCACAUUUUUCUGAUAUUUAUUCUGCAAAUCAGCAGCAUGAGCCCCUGCCACUCUUCUAAAUAAGCUUCCAGGCAUUACCUGCAUGCUGUGUUCCUGUGGUGGGAUGGCAGUAAUCUCUGCUAAGAUAAACGGGAGCUUCUGUGGAUAAAGCAUAAACGCAGUGAAGUGUGUGUGGCUGGAAGAUUUAAUGCCUCUACAGUGCUUAGAUACAAGUUGAGCUUGGAAUUCCAGAGGUAGAGCACUGCUGAUUGGAGACAUAUUAAGUAAAAUGUACUGUGGAAAUGAGAUAAAACCUUUAUUCUUGCUAAUGAUUGUCAUUGUAUGUAUUCAGGUGUCCAACAAAGGAUUUUAGAAUAAAGUGUGCCUUUAAAGUUUCCCACCUUCUUAAAGCUCCCAAUGAAUUGCAAAGGGCCUGUUUGGAAUGGACUGUAUUAAAUCUACUUCAAAUGAAAACCUUUACACUGAGUGAAAUAUGGUUCAACAAUUCUUAACACAAGGCCUUUACACUUGUGUAGCCCAUUUUGGUUUGGCCUAUCUUGUCACUAGAAUGCUGUCUGAGCUUGGAUUAUUUAUGCCCUAAGAUUUACUUAAAAUUGAAGGGAGUAUUUCCAUUCAUCAACACUAGUUUUGAUAGAUGCUUAAAAGGUGCAGUGAGGUUGAUGAUCCUGAAUACACAAAUUAUUGAUCACCACAUCAAGUUGGAUUUCCCUAAAGAUGUAUGGCUUUCUGACCUUGUGAUUUACACUAAUGAUUAUGUCUUAAUAAAAGUAAUAAAGCUAAAUACUUUAUACGUGAUCUAAGGAGUGAGAUUAGAAAGGAAGCAAGAGGAGAGACAUACUGUGUUGAACUGACCUUGCUAAGGCAGAAGAAAUGGCAUUUUAUGGUGUUUUUUUCUUUCCUUCACUUCUCUGUUUUACUUCUUCCGCUUUUUAUCUCUUAAUUUGAAAGAAACUCUUGGGAAUAUCUCUUCUCCUGCAGACAAAGACAUCAUGAGCUCCCCCAUCCAUACCCUAGAACAUGUAGGCCCUUGGUCAACCAUAGAGUCUUUCCUUUAAUCAGGUGAUAUCUCUCCUUUUGUACCUUGCAGGCACGGAAGCCAAUGACUUGGGCAAAUGCCCCUAAUUCAGGAUCAACUCAGAUGACCAGGUUUCCCCUACCUAGAGUGCUACUUAUUGCAGUGAAAACUUUUCUUCUUUCCAAAAACCUUUAAUUAAACGUUUAAUAACUCCCUGACUCAUAAUAUGGCUUCAUAAUGGGACAUCAAAAUGGUAUAAUCUAGGAUUAAGAUUUAAGUGCCUUACUAUCUAGUUUCCCGUUGAGCUGAGUAUCUGUUCUCUGUUUACCACUCAUGCCUCAAUUUUCUUAUUCUAAAAUGGAAGUAAUGAUCACUACCUACCUCCAAGGGUUGAUACAGGAUUCAGUGAGGCAUUUGAUGUGAAAGUAUCCAACACUCAGUUUGGCAUAGAAUAUAUGUUCAGUGAAGGCAAGUGGAAUUUGAGUGAUCUUGUGAGUGCUAAGAGGUUAUAAUCCAGGGUUAGUAUGCAACCCUAAUAGUGGGGCUACCAUGCACAGUCACAGUGAGGGUCUGAGUCAAAUGAGGAUAACUGGGCUCUGGCUUUGGUGUCUCCUUUUGUGGGUUGCAGCUGGUAAAAUAAGUCCUCUUUUGUCACAACAUCAUACAAAAGUAGGUUCACACAUGUACACUCACACACACGUGGUUUGGGUGAGAGAGUAUAUCAAAUAAUCCCACAGUAGAGAGAUGAUGAGAUUGCUCUUAAGGGAUGUCCUAAUUUGGAUAAAACUUGUGUGACUUUAGGAAAUGGACUUACCCUCUCUCUCUCAGUUUCUUUCUGUCUCUCUCUCUCUCGUCUAUCCAUUCAUCCAACCAUCUGUCCAUUCAUCCAAUAAGCACUUAUGAAGUAUACCCAUCACUAUAUUUCUAUCACCAUUACUGAGUAGCGAUGAUAGAAAGACUGAUACUUUUCCUUUCCUUAAAGAGCUUAUACUCUUGUUGGAGAGAGGGACAAGCAAACAGUUAUAAAACACUCUUAAUCCAUUUGGGCUGCUAUAACAACAUACCUUAGACUGGAAAAUUUUAUAAAUAUCAUAAAUUUAUCACCAACAGUU